rnacentral:lncRNA from 1 species
AGGCAAUUCCUUUGCAAAAGCACAGCAUGGUCUGGAGCAAUAGGCCUUUCUGUUUCAAUAGCCAGGACCAAAUGGCUAGGUCUAGGUGGAUCCUGGAGUGCUGUCUUGGAACAGCCCAUCAGGGCCUCAGUGCAGGUCUCCAUGCUUUGUUCAGACAUCUCCCUGCUGUGCUCCGAGAAGCUGUAGGGCACAUUCAUCUGCCCAGGCUCGAGGCCUCGCCUCACACUCGGCUCCUUUAUCGUUUCAAGAGAUUUGCACUGUGGAGGUCAAAGGGAGCAAGCCGGGCCAGGCCCCACCUCAGCACCAGCCAAAGUUGCUGUCAGCACCAGAUGGAGGAAUCGUCAGCCCAGCCAGAAUGUCUAAGGAGCUUUUGAAGGAUACCGGUACCUGGUCUUACUGCGCUAAAUAGAAAGUGUUCUGACACUCCUCCAGGCGCCCCAGAUGGUACUGGCUGACACACUCCAAGGAUGUCAUUAUGAACACGUGUAAACCACAUGAGGGGGACGACCUUCUGGAAACUAAAGACAUGGCAGUACCCUCACCCCUGAGGGCCUUACAAUACUGCUGGGAGGAGCAGAGGUAAGUGGGUCUCAGGUGUUGGGAGGUCUUGGAAAAUCAAGGAUCCAUUGGAAACUCUUAAGCAGAGAUGCUAGACAGGCAUUGGGAAA